rnacentral:lncRNA from 1 species
AAUUUGCCUAGAGUUUUUUCUUUUAAAAACCCAAAGCCAGGCUACUCAGUUCCCACACCGAGGUGCUUCACUGACACUUGUCCUGACAGAGUGGACCCCGCCAAGUUAUAUUUCCCCUGAAGAGCAUGACAUUUGGGCUUUAGUUCUGAAAUCAAAGGAUCUACACAUGGCUCCUCAUGGUGUUGGCCUUUACUCAGCUAUGUGCCUGCUCCAUCUUAUUCUCACUUAAUGGAUAAUGUCAUUCUCUAUUAUACAUUCAUUAAGGGAAGGCCAGCAUCUGAUUGUGUGAUGGAUUAUACCAGAUUCACAGAACACUACACAUUAAUCUCACAUAUUAGUAGAAAUCAAAUAACUGAAGCUCCUCUUGGUGAGAAGUUUGGGUUUGGUGCUUCGCCAGGUAAAGUAGCAAGGUGCAAUGGGGAGAAGGGGAUGGAGCAGGAGAUUAAAGCCCUCAGCUGGACAAAUGAGCUUUGACACAGAAACAAAGUGUUUGAGGACAAAAUAGAGUCAGACUAUGUCACUGGACAAUGUGGAUUCAUGCCAUUGGCUGCAUUAGAAUGCAGGACAAGAUGGAAAGGAG